rnacentral:rRNA from 1 species
UCCGUAGGCGGGCGUCUAAGUCAGUGGUGAAAUCUUACAGCUCAACUGUAAAAUUGCCAUUGAUACUGGAUGUCUUGAAUUAGUGUGAAGUGGUUAGAAUGUGUAGUGUAGCGGUGAAAUGCAUAGAUAUUACACAGAAUACCAAUUGCGAAGGCAAAUCACUAACACUAUAUUGACGCUGAGGGACGAAAGCGUGGGGAGCGAACAGGAUUAGAUACCCUGGUAGUCC